GACGGAGGGUGCGAGCGUUAUUCGGAUUUAUUGGGCGUAAAGAGCAUGUAGGCGGUCAGCCAAGUCUGAUGUGAAAGCCCGGGGCUUAACCUCGGAAGGGCGUUGGAAACUGGUUGACUUGAGUUCGGGAGAGGGAAGCGGAAUUCCGGGUGUAGAGGUGAAAUUCGUAGAUAUCCGGAGGAACACCGGUGGCGAAGGCGGCUUCCUGGACCGAAACUGACGCUGAGAUGCGAAAGCGUGGGGAG
rnacentral:rRNA from 1 species